UUUUAGCCUAGUGGACAUGGCAUCUGCCCGGUAAGCGGAACACUGUGGGUUCGAUUCCCAUCCCUGGACAC